AAUCAACGCUGGCGGCGUGCCUCAGACAUGCAAGUCGAACGAUUUAAACUUUCCUUCGGGAAAGAUAUAAAGUGGCGCACGGGUGAGUAACACGUAAGUAAUCUACCUUCGAGUGGGGAAUAACGUCGGGAAACCGACGCUAAUACCGCAUAAUGCAGCGGCACCUAAUGGUGACAGUUGUUAAAGGAGCAAUUCGCUUGAAGAGGAGCUUGCGGCAGAUUAGCUAGUUGGAAGUACGGCUUACCAAGGCUACGAUCUGUAACCGGUCUAAGAGACGGUCGGUCACACUGACACUGAAUAACGGGUCAGGC
rnacentral:rRNA from 1 species